rnacentral:piRNA from 1 species
UGGACUCCCAUUAAAAUGUUAAGGCCAUUGC